CAAAACCUUUCACCCUCUCUCCCUCUCUCUCUCUCUCUCUCUCUCUCUCUCUCUCUUGUCUUCAUCAUCUACGGCCAACCAUGUCCACCAUAGGUGAGCUCAGUGAAUCAAGUUCUAUCUUUUCCCGAUGCCAAAGAGCCACAAUAAGAAGUAAAAAAAAAGAUUCAAAUGCUUUGUCUAUUUCACCAGGCUGGCUACACCAGAUGAGGAGUCCAGAAGUUGGGAAUAUGACUCUAUUGAUACUAAAGUUGAAGAGCCAAUCAUUGAUGUGUCUUUUGGAUCAGUUUUCACAUACUACUACUACUACUACUACUACUACUACUACUACUACUACUACUACUACUACUACUACUACUACUACUACUACUACUACUACGAGUUUUUUGGGUUCUCUUAUAUAUUAAAGUUGAAGAGCCAAUCAUUGAUGUGUCUUUUCGAUCAGUUUUCACAUUAUUCAAUUCAUUAACACUAAGUUUGAUAAGUGUAUCUUUCUUUUGAUUAUCUACAAUUGUGUACCUGAGUAGGUUGGUUAUAAUAUAAUGCUCUAUCUUUGUUUCUUUUUUUUUAUAUUUUUGGUUAAAUUUUACAGACUUGCCGAUUGCAACUCUUUUCCCUUUCAUGUAUUUCAUGGUAAGAGAUUUUUCAGCAACAAGCAGCUAGAUCAGACAGCAAACAACAUCAAAGGUAUACUAACCACCUAGAAACUACUCCAGGAGCAAAAACUAAAGAUGAUAAAAUAAUGGACAUGAAGACUUGAAGAUGGAGAGCUAAUGAUAAAAUAAUUCAAUUACAUGAAAAUGUCUCCCAUCCAAUUUUUCAUACUUCUAAUUAUUGAACAAUAGUUGUUUUUUUUUUUUUUUUUAAAUUAAGUAAAAGUUGCAUAAAGAGACAUUUUAUGCAUAUAUAACCAUUAAAAUUGCCUUGUUUUGUCAAGGAAAACAAUAUUUGUGAUGUCAAAUGCUAAGAGAAUUAUAUAAUUUCUUAAUUUAGACGAUCAAA